rnacentral:rRNA from 1 species
UACGUAGGGUGCAAGCGUUGUCCGGAAUUAUUGGGCGUAAAGAGCUCGUAGGCGGUCUGUCACGUCGGCUGUGAAAACCCGAGGCUCAACCUCGGGCCUGCAGUCGAUACGGGCAAACUAGAGUACUGCAGGGGAGACUGGAAUUCCUGGUGUAGCGGUGAAAUGCGCAGAUAGUCGGGAGGAACACCAGUAGCGAAGGCGGCACUCUGGGCCGGUACUGGACGCUGAGGAGCGAA